GGGCCUGUAACUCAGUUGGCAGAGUACUUGGCUCAUAACCGAGCGGUCCCGGGUUCGAGUCCCGGCGGGCCCA
rnacentral:tRNA from 1 species